rnacentral:rRNA from 1 species
GACGAACGCUGGCGGCGUGCCUAAUACAUGCAAGUCGAACGAACCGCGACUAGGUGCUUGCACUUGGUCAAGGUGAGUGGCGAACGGGUGAGUAACACGUGGGUAACCUACCUCAUAGUGGGGGAUAACAGUCGGAAACGACUGCUAAUACCGCAUAGGACAUAGGAUCACAUGAUCCAGUGAGGAAAGGUGGCGCAAGCUAUCGCUAAGAGAUGGACCCGCGGUGCAUUAGCUAGUUGGUAGGGUAAAGGCCUACCAAGGCGAUGAUGCAUAGCCGACCUGAGAGGGUGAUCGGCCACAUUGGGACUGAGACACGGCCCAAACUCCUACGGGAGGCAGCAGUAGGGAAUCUUCCGAAAUGGACGCAAGUCUGACGGAGCAACGCCGCGUGAGUGAAGAAGGUCUUCGGAUCGUAAAGCUCUGUUGUUAGAGAAGAACAGCGCAUAGAGUAACUGUUAUGCGUGUGACGGUAUCUAACCAGAAAGCCACGGCUAACUACGUG